AACGAACGCUGGCGGCAUGCCUAACACAUGCAAGUCGAACGAGACCUUCGGGUCUAGUGGCGCACGGGUGCGUAACACGUGGGAAUUUGCCUCGGGGUAUGGAAUAACUCAGGGAAACUUGAGCUAAUACCAUAUAAUGUCUUCGGACCCAAAAGAUUUAAUCGCCCUGAGAUAAGCCCGCGUAGGAUUAGCUAGUUGNGAGGUAAAGGCUCACCAAGGCGACGAUCCUUAGCUGGUCUGAGAGGAUGAUCAGCCACACUGGGACUGAGACA
rnacentral:rRNA from 1 species